rnacentral:rRNA from 1 species
AGCAGCCGCGGUAAUUCCAGCUCCAAUAGCGUAUAUUAAAGUUGCUGCAGUUAAAAAGCUCGUAGUUGAAUUUCGGGACCAUCAUGUCGGUCGUGCCUCGGUACGUACUGGCAUUGUUGGUUUCUACCUUCUGACGAACCAUGAUGUCAUUUAUUUGGUGUCGUGGGAAAUCAGGACUGUUACUUUGAAAAAUUAGAGUGUUUAAAGCAGGCUCACGCUUGAAUACAUUAGCAUGGAAUAAUGAAAUAGGACGUUUGAUUCUAUUUUGUUGGUUUCUAGGAUCGACGUAAUGAUUAAUAGGGAUAGUUGGGGGCAUUAGUAUUCAAUUGUCAGAGGUGAAAUUCUUGGAUUUAUUGAAGACUAACUACUGCGAAAGCAUUUGCCAAGGAUGUUUUCAUUAAUCAAGAACGAAAGUUAGGGGAUCGAAGACGAUCAGAUACCGUCGUAGUCUUAACCAUAAACUAUGCCGACUAGGGAUCGGAUGAUGUUAAUUUUUAAUGUA